rnacentral:rRNA from 1 species
AUUGAACGCUGGCGGCAUGCUUUACACAUGCAAGUCGAACGGUAACAGGCCGCAAGGUGCUGACGAGUGGCGAACGGGUGAGUAAUGCAUCGGAACGUGCCCAGUCGUGGGGGAUAACUACUCGAAAGAGUAGCUAAUACCGCAUACGAUCUAUGGAUGAAAGCGGGGGACCGUAAGGCCUCGCGCGAUUGGAGCGGCCGAUGUCAGAUUAGGUAGUUGGUGGGGUAAGGCUCACCAAGCCAACGAUCUGUAGCUGGUCUGAGAGGACGACCAGCCACACUGGGACUGAGACACGGCCCAGACUCCUACGGGAGGCAGCAGUGGGGAAUUUUGGACAAUGGGCGCAAGCCUGAUCCAGCAAUGCCGCGUGCAGGAAGAAGGCCUUCGGGUUGUAAACUGCUUUUGUACGGAACGAAACGGCUCUGGUUAAUACCCGGGGCUAAUGACGGUACCGUAAGAAUAAGCACCGGCUAACUACGUG